rnacentral:rRNA from 1 species
AGCGAACGUUGGCGGCAGGCCUAACACAUGCAAGUCGAACGAAGUCUUCGGACUUAGUGGCGGACGGGUGAGUAACACGUGGGAACGUGCCUUUAGGUUCGGAAUAACUCAGGGAAACUUGUGCUAAUACCGAAUGUGCCCUUCGGGGGAAAGAUUUAUCGCCUUUAGAGCGGCCCGCGUCUGAUUAGCUAGUUGGUGAGGUAAAGGCUCACCAAGGCGACGAUCAGUAGCUGGUCUGAGAGGAUGAUCAGCCACAUUGGGACUGAGACACGGCCCAAACUCCUACGGGAGGCAGCAGUGGGGAAUUUUGCGCAAUGGGCGAAAGCCUGACGCAGCCAUGCCGCGUGAAUGAUGAAGGUCUUAGGAUUGUAAAAUUCUUUCACCGGGGACGAUAAUGACGGUACCCGGAGAAGUAGCCCCGGCUAACUUCGUGCCAGCCGCCGCCGUAA